AUUGAACGCUGGCGGCAGGCCUAACACAUGCAGGUCGAACGGUAACAGGAAACAGCUUGCUGUUUCGCUGACGAGUGGCGGACGGGUGAGUAAUGUCUGGGAAACUGCCUGAUGGAGGGGGAUAACUACUGGAAACGGUAGCUAAUACCGCAUAACGUCGCAAGACCAAAGAGGGGGACCUUCGGGCCUCUUGUAAUCGGAUGUGCCCAGAUGGGAUUAGCUAGUAGGUGGGGUAACGGCUGACCUAGGAGACGAUCCCUAGCUGGUAUGAGAGGAUGGCCAGCCACACUGAAACUGGGACACGGUCCAGACUCCUACGGGAGGCAGCAGUGGGGAAUAUUGCACAAUGGGCGCAAGCCUGAUGCAGCCAUGCCGCGUGUAUGAAGAAGGCCUUAGGGUUGUAAAGUACUUUCAGCGGGGAGGAAGGGAGUAAAGUAAAUACCUUUGCUCAUUGACGUUACCCGCAGAAGAAGCACCGGCUAACUCCGUGCCAGCCGCCGCUGUAA
rnacentral:rRNA from 1 species